rnacentral:rRNA from 1 species
GUGUCAGCCGCCGCGGUAAGACGAACCGUCCUAACGUUGUUCGGAAUCACUGGGCUUAAAGGGCGCGUAGGCGGUCGGCAUAGUCAGGGGUGAAAUCUUUCGGCUUAACCGGAAAAGGGCCUCUGAUACUAGUCGACUCGAGGGAGAUAGGGGCAAUUGGAACUUCCGGUGGAGCGGUGAAAUGCGUUGAUAUCGGAAGGAACGCCGGUGGCGAAAGCGAAUUGCUGGAUCUCUUCUGACGCUGAGGCGCGAAAGCUAGGGGAGCAAACGGGAUUAGAAACCCCUGUAGUCC